rnacentral:rRNA from 1 species
UACAGAGGGUGCAAGCGUUUAAUCGGAAUUACUGGGCGUAAAGCGUGCGUAGACGGUUGCGUAAGUCAGAUGUGAAAGCCCCGGGCUCAACCUGGGAAUUGCAUUUGAGACUGCGUAGCUAGGGUGCGGAAGAGGGAAGCGGAAUUUCCGGUGUAGCGGUGAAAUGCGUAGAUAUCGGAAGGAACACCAGUGGCGAAAGCGGCGACCUGGGUCGAGACUGACGCUGAGGCGCGAAAGCGUGGGGAGCAAACAGG